UUAGGAAUAUUGGGCAAUGGAGGAAACUCUGACCCAGCAACGCCGCGUGAAGGAAGAAGGUUUUCGGACUGUAAACUUCUGAUCUAAGGGAAAAAGAAAGUGAUGGUACCUUAGGAGAAAGCCACGGCUAACUACGUGCCAGCAGCCGCGGUAAUACGUAGGUGGCGAGCGUUGUCCGGAAUGACUGGGCGUAAAGGGAGCGUAGGUUGCGAUUUAAGUUAGGUGUGAAAGCCCGUAGCUCAACUACGGAACUGCAUUUAAAACUGGAUUGCUAGAGUACAGGAGGGGUGAGCGGAAUUCCUAGUGUAGCGGUGGAAUGCGUAGAUAUUAGGAAGAACACCGGAGGCGAAGGCGGCUCACUGGACUGCAACUGACACUGAGGCUCGAAAGCGUGGGGAGCAAACA
rnacentral:rRNA from 1 species